AGAGGGGGGAAGCGCUUCCGGGGUCAGGGGUGUUCUGGCUCGCCCCGCCCCGGCGCCGGUGCCCUGCUGGAAGGCCUGGCUCUCCCGGAAGUGGCCCGGGCCUCUCUCUGUUGGGGUCCCCACCUCCCUGCUGCUGCUGCUGCUGCGGGCCGCAGGGGGGGCAGCGAUGGCGGAGGCGGCGCUGCUGCUGCUGCCAGAGGCGGCAGCGGAGCGGGAUGCACGGGAGAAGCUGGCCCUCUGGGAUGGAAGACUGGACACUACGGCGCCGCUGACGGACCGGCAGACAGACUCGGUGCUGGAGCUGAAGGCGGCGGCCGAGGACCUGCCCGUGCCGACCGAGCUCCCAAUUGAAGACUUGUGCAGUUUAACAACCCACUCGCUGCCCAUUGCACAGACUUCAGUAGUGCCCGAAUCUACAGAAGACAUUCUCUUGAAAGGAUUUGCCUCCUUAGAAAUGAAAGACGAAAGAAUCGAAACUGCACAGCAGUUUUUCUCAUGGUUUGCAAAGCUACAAACUCAGAUGGAUCAGGAUGAAGAAAGUAAAUAUAGGAGCAGUGUGAUGCUAUAUUGAAUGACGUCAACAGUGCUCUUCAGCAUCUGGAAUCAUUGCGGAAACAGUAUCUUUUUGUGUCCAAUAAGACAGGAGCCCUCCACGAAGCCUGUGAACAGCUGCUGAAAGAACAGUCCGAACUUGUUGAGCUGGCUGAAAACAUUCAACAAAAGCUUUCCUAUUUUAAUGAAUUGGAAACUAUUAACACAAAAUUGAAUUCUCCCACAUUGUCUGUGAAUAGUGAAGGAUUUAUACCUAUGCUGGCCAAGUUAGAUGAUUGUAUAACAUACAUAUCAUCUCAUCCAAAUUUUAAAGAUUAUCCUAUAUAUUUACUGAAGUUUAAGCAAUGCCUUUCUAAAGCUUUGCAACUCAUGAAGACAUACACUGUGAAUACACUACAGAACCUCACAAAUCAGUUAUUAAAAAGGGAUCCUUCAUCUGUACCGAAUGCAGACAAUGCCUUCACACUGUUUUAUGUGAAAUUUCGAGCUGCUGCCCCCAAAGUCAGAACUCUCAUUGAACAAAUAGAACAACGAUCUGAAAAAAUACCUGAAUACCAGCAACUGCUUAACGACAUUCACCAGUGUUACCUUGAUCAGCGGGAGCUCCUCUUGGGUCCUAGUAUUACUUGCACUGUAACAGAGUUAACCAGCCAGAAUAAUAGAGAUCACUGUGCCUUGAUUCGCAGUGGCUGUGCCUUUAUGGUUCAUGUCUGCCAGGAUGAGCAUCAGCUUUACAAUGAAUUUUUCACAAAACCAACAUCAAAAUUAGAUGAACUUUUGGAGAAACUGUGUAUGUCAUUGUAUGAUGUCUUCAGGCCGCUCAUCAUUCAUGUUAUUCACUUAGAAACUCUAUCGGAACUUUGCGGGAUUCUGAAAAAUGAGGUGCUUGAAGAUCACGUACAGAACAAUGCUGAGCAGCUCGGGGCAUUUGCAGCUGGAGUGAAGCAGAUGUUGGAAGAUGUUCAAGAGCGACUUGUCUACCGAACCCACAUCUACAUUCAGACAGACAUCACGGGCUACAAACCCGCUCCUGGAGAUCUGGCCUAUCCUGAUAAGUUAGUCAUGAUGGAGCAAAUUGCCCAGAGUUUAAAAGAUGAGCAAAAGAAGGUACCUUUAGAAGCUUUGUUUUCAGACGUUCGGUUAGAAGAAGCAGAACCUCGUAAUAGUCUAACAAAAUCUGGUAUGUUACAGCAUUUUUUGUUUGUUUUGUCUUUUUAGGGCUGCACCCGUGGCAUAUGGAGGUUCCCAGGCUAGGGGUCAAAUCAGAGCUGUAGCUGCCAGCCUACACCACAGCCACAGUCAUGUCAGAUCCCAGGCACCUCUUCGACCUACACCACAACUCGUGCCAGUGCCAGAUCCUUAGCCCAACUGAGCAAGGCCACGGAUCGAGCCUCUGUCCUCAUGGAUACUAGUUAGAUUCCUUUCCACUGAGCCACGACAGCAUUUUAACUUUUAUUCAUUCAUUUAAUUAACGUUUUUUGAAGAUUGGCAUGUCUCAGGCAUGAAAAACAGCUUGUGUCUUUGAGGAGCCCACACUUCAGUGGGGGGAGAUUGGCAAGCCACGGGUGUAAUUCAGGGGUGACACGUGUGCACAGGGCCCUCUUGGACCGUGGAUGAAGGGCGUCACAACUUUAAAGGCAGCUGAGCUUUGUGUGCAGGAAGGCAGGUUCAGUGAGAGGUAUGGAAUCUGAAAGCUGUGGUGUGAUGACUAUGAGAGAGCCGGCUGAAAUAGGGUUGUUUGAGAUAGAAUACCGUGGAGGAAGGCAUAAAGGAGUGGGGGACCAUGGUUGCUUUGGGGAAGUCAGGUGGUUUGGGGUGUUUGGGCACAGGUUAUUUGUAGGGAAAGAGCAGGUAGAACAGGCCUGACUGUGAUAGGUGUCAAGGGUAACUCCUAGGGACUUCGAUAUUCUAGCUAAUUGUACCAUCAGAUUUGCAUGUUGCAAAUGGAUUGAGUGCCUGGGACUGGGAUAAAAAAAUUGACGGAAGUGUAUAGGAUGGCUUGGACUAGGAUGCAUGUUAUAUAAGGAGCAAAACUGUUCAAGAAGCACCCUGGAAACCUCAUGCGUUAUCUGGACAGCAAGCUAGGUGGGAAGUUGGGCAUCCCUCUCCUCACCCUCAGUUGUAAGGGUGACACCAAAACUCCGCUCCCCAUGGGACUGACCGGGAGUCGGUGGUAAUCCAACUCCAUGAGCUUUAAAGAGCCCAGGCGCCCCCACAUCUCUAGGCUAGUGCAUCGUCAGGUUAUUCUGAGUCAGCUCCAUAUAGUUUAUACCCCAAUUCCAGAGGGCCAGCCAGCCUCGGUGGUCCCCAUCUGAUAAAGCCGCUUUAUCAUGCUUGCCCUGUAGCAAGAGAAACACACAGGGAGUUGAAAUUUCCUCCUCUGAAAUAGAACCCAUGCCGUGACCUAUAUACAUCUUAGUUCAACUCCUAGUUAAGGCCUCUUAAACCCUGGCCUUGUACGUUUCCCCUUUCCUUAGUAAAGCCUCUUUCUUUAACCCGUGGCUAGCAUUACAUUGAGGUAUUGUUGGUAGAACAGUAGGGACUGGUUAGGAAGUGGUUGUGUUUUUCUAUUUGAAAGGUAGAUGUGGUUUGAACCAGCGCGUUGUUGGGGGCGGGGGAAGGAGAGAAGUGUGUAGAUGAGGGGUAUGGUUAGGCGUUUGAAUCCAUAGAGUUUGAGAACACCCUGGAUGUGGGGUUAAAGGAGAUCGAGUAAGGUCCACGUGCAACAGCGGAGAGGUGGGUAUUAAAUGGAUCUGGAGUUACGCUGUGCAGCGUGGUGGCCAUCGGGCAUGUGAAAUGUGGCUACUCCGAAUGCGCCGUGAGUGUACAUACCUACCAGAUUUCAAAGACUUCAUAUGAAAUAAAGAAUGGAAAUUAUCUUAUUAGUAAUUUUUAUAUUGAUCAUAUGUUAAAGUAAUGAUGUUUUGUCUAUUGGCUUAAUAAAAUAUAUUAAAAUUAAUUUCACUGAGUUUUUAAAGAAAAUUUUUUUUUUCCAUUUUUAAUGUGGCAUGUUUUUGUUUGUUUGUUUGUUUUGCUUUUUAGGGCCAUGCUCAUGGGAUAUAGAAGUUCCCAGGCUAGAGGCUGAAUUGGAGCUGCAGCUGCAGGCCUGUGCCACAGCCACAGCAAUGUAGGAUCCAAGCUGCAUAUGCAGCCUACACCACAGCUCACAGCAACACGGGAUCCUUAACCCACUGAGCAAAGCCAGGGAUCGAACCCGCAUCCUCAUGGUUCCUAGUUGGAUUCGUUUCCGCUGCACCACAACGGGAACUCCUAAUGUGGCGUUUUUAAUGUCUCACGUUGAUGAUUCACAUACUCCUCCAUUUGGAGAGCACUGCUCUUGGGCCAUAAAGAGGAGGACUGGUUUAGAGAGAAAGACUGAGGAGUAGUUGACGCUCUGGGCUUGUAUAAGGUCACCCAGGACAGAGAGUUAGAGGGACAGUGGCAGAAGUCUGGGGAGAGCAUCUGAGCAGAUGCAGGUCGAGGCAGAGGAGAGGAGCCCUUUCUGAUCUGUGGAGGGGAGGGACACAGCUCUGGCCACCUGGACGCUGGACGCACUACGGAGGCCUCUUAAGUGGCGCAUGGAAGGCAGGCCAUCAGGCCAGCCAGCUUUGGUUGAUCUUCCUGUUUACUUUACUUUGUUUUCUCGUCCCUCCCUGCCUGCGCCCCCCCCCCCCUUGUUGCCACUUGACUGCAUCUGGCUCUGUCUCCCUUUUCUUGGCCGCACUGUAUUCUACAGUGUGUGUAUACGGCUCAUGCAGUCUAUAAAGAUGAUUGAUCACAGUUUAGCGAAAGCAGCUUGGGCCGAGUGUGUGAGGCUGGCGUGUACCCACGUGUGCAUUCAUGUGCGCUCUCCCUCCAUGUGCGAAACCUCACUGAUGGCAGUUGCCUCGGGCGUUCUCGAUUCAAGACGAGGCUGGAAAAAACGGAUGCCUCCAGCCAGUGAGAGCUAACGAGAACCAACAGGCCAUCACUGCUGUGCAAAUGGACAGACCUCUACCUGUGUGACGUCCUCUUUUCCAUUUGGGCUUUUAGGUUCAACCGACUCUCUCAAUCCUAGACCACAGACCACAAUUUCUCCAGCAGAUCUUCAUGGCAUGUGGUAUCCUACAGUUCGACGAACUCUCGUCUGUCUCUCCAAAUUGUACAGAUGCAUAGAUAGGGCAGUGUUCCAAGGAUUAUCACAGGAGGCCUUGUCUGCCUGCAUUCAGUCCUUACUUGGAGCAUCAGAGUCUAUCAGCAAAAACAAGACUCAGAUUGAUGGACAGCUUUUCUUAAUAAAGCACCUUUUGAUUCUUCGUGAACAAAUCGCUCCAUUUCACACUGAAUUCACCAUUAAGGAAAUUUCCCUGGACCUCAAGAAAACUAGAGAUGCAGCAUUUAAAAUCCUGAAUCCUAUGACUGUUCCAAGAUUUUUUAGGCUGAAUAGCAACAAUGCCUUGAUAGAGUUCUUGUUGGAGGGUACUCCUGAGAUACGAGAGCAUUAUCUCGACUCUAAGAAAGACGUGGACCGUCACCUGAAGGCAGCCUGCGAGCAGUUUAUCCAGCAACAGUCCAAGCUGUUUGUAGAGCCGCUGGAGGAGUUCCUGACAAAGGUUUCGGCAUUAAAAGCAAUGGCCAGUCAGGGAGGACCCAAGUACACGCUCUGUCAGCAGCCUUGGGCACAACCAGCAAAGGUCAGUGACCUUGUGGCAAGUGCCUACAAGACAAUAAAAGCGAAGCUGCCCCUGACCUUGAGAAGCAUGUCACUGUACCUAUCCAAUAAAGAUACCGAGUUCAUCUUGUUUAAACCUGUUAGGAAUAAUAUUCAGCAAGUCUUCCAGAAGUUCCACGCGUUGUUAAAGGAGGAGUUCAGCCCUGAAGACGCCCAGAUCAUUGCGUGUCCUUCUAUGGAGCAGCUGAACCUCCUACUGUCAGUUUCUAAAUAACCAGCCGUCGGGGCGCGCGUGGAGAAGGCCUGUGCAUCCUGCAGGGCGCCGGACAAGUGUACAGGGCUGACUCGAGAACCACACGGUGGCUGCUCCGUGCUGACCGCAGACUGGAAUGGAAGCCAAGUGAGAAACGAUUGGGGUUUCCCUUUUAAGAAACAUCCAAAUGCCAAAGAUUAAUCUGCGAGCGCUGAUAACUGCCUCAUUUAAAUGGUCACGAGCAGUGUAAGUUUUUAAGAGGAAGCUAUGGUGGGCACGCCGGGUGAAAUGGUUCUUAGCAAAAAAAUGUGCAAUGAAAAUAGGUUACAAUAAAUAGUGCAAAAAACUUUACAGAAAUACAGCUCGUUAGAAAGCUUCUGAGUAUGGUUCGUUAAAGCGUGAAACACUGCAGUCCUUUUAACCACGGGGCAUUCCGCAGUGACCGGUUCUUUUGACUUCCAGAAACAUUCUUCCUCCACUCUCUUUAAUGUGAUGUGUCUCCUGUCACUUUGAAGCUUAGUUUGGAGUAGAUUGGAUGCUUCUGAGAACACGUUCUGCUUUCCGGGGAGCUGAGGGUCUUCUCUUUCUGUGUUCGAUGUGAGUAGUUGCGGGCUGCAAGGACCUCAGGGCAGGUCCCGGGAUCUGUCGGAGGCGGAUGGCUUAGGUGCAGAGCGUUCAGUGGCAGGCGGGGAGCUGCAGCCUCUGGGUGGCGGAUACGUGCCCUGUCCUUCAGGAGAAUCUGGGGGGUACCGUUUGUGAGGCGGGAGUACCACUUAAGGCGCCUCAGUCUGGCCCAGAAGGGAGGCAGGAAGCCUGAUGAGCCGUGUGUCCCAGGCAUGAAAGCGAGGGCUCCCAGCUCCCUGCCCACCGCCUUUGCUCUCCUGGUGCUUUGAAAAGCGCACCCUUUCAUGUCCUGCGUAUUCGCUGGGGCGCUGCCUCGGGGCUCCCCAGCUCUGCCACGGCAGCGGGACACAUUUCCCAACAAAGACAAGCGAGGCGUGGACCUCCCAUCCCUUAACGUUGGCCACACGAUAGCAGGGACGGUCCAGUACAUUAGACGCAUCCCCGAGCUCUGCAGAUGCACUGGCUUUGUCUUCGAUGUUAGAGUAAAUGGCACCUGCUUUUUGGUUCACAAGGAAUUUCGAGUUAUUCAGACACUAGUUUAGAGAUGGAACCCUGGCCGACAAGGGCCCUGGGAUGUAGCCAGCAGACCCCAUUCUGCGUGACUGGCAUUUCGACACCCGCCACGUGUACAUAGGUUCCAUAUCGUCACGUCCGUCAUUUUCAACAGGUCACUUGUUUUUCAGCUCCGUUUAACUUGGUGGUGGAUGUUGCUCGCUAGAGCUUAAGAGUCUCUACUUCGGGGGAGGUGGAAGGUAAAGAGGGUCCAUGUUCAUUCUUGGAGAGGAAAUGAAUGAAUUAGGAACGUUAUAUGUACUUCCACUUACUAUUUUAAAUAUACGUUUAAUGAAAUAAACUGUAAGAUACCCGCUUUUGUAUAUUCUGUGUACAUUUGAUUUUUAAAUAGCCUUUCCAAAGAAAUGAGGGCAUGAUUAUUGUAUAAUACUGUGACAGAUUUAAUUUGAUGUACAGAGCAGAGUGUGUUCUUAAGGAUAAAAAUAUUUCACAGCACUCGUUCUUGUGCUUUGAAUCUUUUAUUUCCGAAACACUCAAACACCUUACAAAAGUACUGAGUAGAUAGUAGUGAUCCAAUUUGUUUGCUAAAUGAUUGUUUAAAUCUGUACAGUUUCAAGUGUUUACUUAUACAAAGAGUGUACAUACUUUCAAAUAAUUAAUUUAAAAUGCUUUAUAUUAUUUGGCUAGAAAUUGCUGUUUUUAAUAAAUGUGAAUUUUUUUAAAAAUAAAGAUUUUUGCUUCCUACUUU